UACGUAGGGUGCGAGCGUUGCUCGGAAUCACUGGGCGUAAAGGGCGCGUAGGCGGGGAGGUAAGUCGGGUGUGAAAUCCCGCGGCCCAACCGAGGAACUGCGCCCGAGACUGCUUCUCUUGAGUCCCGGAGAGGAAGGUGGAAUUCCCGGUGUAGCGGUGAAAUGUGUAGAGAUCGGGAGGAACACCGGUGGCGAAGGCGGCCUUCUGGACGGUGACUGACGCUGAGGCGCGAAAGCUAGGGGAGCAAACAGG
rnacentral:rRNA from 1 species